CCCGCACUGCUCAGGGAUGUCCCUAUGCUUUCUACAAAACAACAGACAUAUGGCCUGGAGUCAUACCACAGUGUCCUGAACCACUUCGUUCCGAAAUCCUAUUCGUUUUCUGACGAGGGGAUGGUGGCCAGGACACAGUUGGCAAUACUCCAUUACAACGAGAAUGCUGACCGUGUGCAAGUGGAAAGAGAGGGCUCCAAGCAGUUCCGACUGAAGCCAUCCAAGCUGAAAAAGACGUGGGUGGCCGUACCCCUCAAAGAAAAUGCUACCUAUGAUUAUGCGGCAACACUGAUUGCAGAGGUUCUGACUCGCAUUCAAGAACACCAAACGCAGUCAGCAGCUGCAGAAACUCGGCCAGCUCGUUCAGCAACAUAUGGCGAGAAGCCAACUCUUAGGCAAGCUGUGGAACAACACCAAA